GACACUUUGCCACAAAAAAUGUAGCCAACGUGAAAUUUAAGUUGGUAUCAGGGUAAACUAAAAGAAAACCAUAAAGGGGCUCACACACAUGUUAACAGAUUAAAGUGCUGCUGCCUUUUGGCGACUAAGAACAUUCUAACAGUUGCAAUUCAUUGUGAAUUCAACCAAUAUAAUUAGAUAAAGUAGAUUCGGAUAAAUAGUGAAGCUGAAAUUUAAUAGAUGGCGGGUAAAUGAGCAUUAUCGAAAAAUAUCAAUGGUGUGAUUAUUUUCUGGUCCUAGAUAAUAAUUGUAUACAAAAAUGGGCAAGUUUCUGUGCGUGACGUGAACUCCAUAACGAAAGUUUAUAAUAAUGCAGUAAUAACAAUUAUUUUUUUAAGAGUAAUGCCAUAUUAUAAUUAUUACAUCUUAAGAAAAUUUUUAAAUGAUCUUACAAUGAACAAUUCGAAACUCUGAACCUGAAUAUUUAAUUAUCAAAAAAAUCACUCCACAAUGAAUGGAGCAAAUAAUUUACUGCAAUUUAAAUCCACCGGCAAAUUAGA